AACGAACGCUGGCGGCGUGCCUAAUACAUGCAAGUCGAACGGGGAAAGCUUUCGGGUGAGUACUAGCGGCGCACGGGUGAGGAACGCGUGGAUAAUCUGUCUUAGAGUGGGGGAUAACUAGUCGAAAGAUUAGCUAAUACCGCAUAAGACCACAGGAGCUGCGGCUCUAGGGGUCAAAGGUUUUUCGCUCUAAGAUGAGUCCGCGUAAGAUUAGCUAGUUGGUGAGGUAACGGCUCACCAAGGCGACGAUCUUUAACUGGUCUGAGAGGAUGAUCAGUCACACUGGAACUGAGACACGGUCCAGACUCCUACGGGAGGCAGCAGUAGGGAAUAUUGCACAAUGGAGGAAACUCUGAUGCAGCGACGCCGCGUGAGUGAUGAAGGCCUUCGGGUCGUAAAGCUCUGUCGCAGGGGAACAACACAAUGAAUGUACCCUGUAAGAAAGGAUCGGCUAACUUCGUGCCAGCAGCCGCAGUAACAC
rnacentral:rRNA from 1 species